rnacentral:tRNA from 1 species
GCAGUGGUGGUUCAGUGGUAGAAUUCUCACAUUUUAUUCAGGAGACCCAGGUUCGAUUCCUGGUCAAUGCA